rnacentral:rRNA from 1 species
CCUACGGGAGGGCAGCAGUGGGGAAUAUUGGACAAUGGGGGGAACCCUGAUCCAGCGACGCCGCGGGAGUGAAGAAGUACUUCGGUAUGUAAAGCUCUAUCAGCAGGGAAGAAAGAAAUGACGGUACCUGACUAUGAAGCCCCGGCUAAAGACGUGCCAGGAGCCGCGGGAAAAAGUAGGGGGCAAGCGGUAUCCGGUUUUACUGGGUGUAAGGGGAGCGUAGACGGCGAUGCAAGUCUGAAGUGAAAGGCGGGGGCCCAACCCCCGGACUGCUUGGGAAACUGUAUGGCUGGAGUGCGGGAGAGGUAGGUGGAAUUCCUGGUGUAGCGGUGAAAUGCGUAGAUAUUAGGAGGAACACC